UACGUAGGGAGCGAGCGUUGUCCGGAUUUACUGGGUGUAAAGGGUGCGUAGGCGGGACUGCAAGUCAGACGUGAAAUCCAUCGGCUUAACCGGUGAACUGCGUUUGAAACUGUAGUUCUUGAGUGAAGUAGAGGUAGGCGGAAUUCCCGGUGUAGCGGUGGAAUGCGUAGAUAUCGGGAGGAACACCAGUGGCGAAGGCGGCCUACUGGGCUUUUACUGACGCUGAGGCACGAAAGUAUGGGUAGCAAAC
rnacentral:rRNA from 1 species